rnacentral:rRNA from 1 species
GAUGAACGCUGGCGGCGUGCCUAAUACAUGCAAGUCGAGCGAACAGACGAGGAGCUUGCUCCUCUGACGUUAGCGGCGGACGGGUGAGUAACACGUGGAUAACCUACCUAUAAGACUGGGAUAACUUCGGGAAACCGGAGCUAAUACCGGAUAAUAUAUUGAACCGCAUGGUUCAAUAGUGAAAGACGGUUUUGCUGUCACUUAUAGAUGGAUCCGCGCCGCAUUAGCUAGUUGGUAAGGUAACGGCUUACCAAGGCGACGAUGCGUAGCCGACCUGAGAGGGUGAUCGGCAACACUGGAACUGAGACACGGUCCAGACUCCUACGGGAGGCAGCAGUAGGGAAUCUUCCGCAAUGGGCGAAAGCUUGACGGAGCAACGCCGCGUGAGUGAUGAAGGUCUUCGGAUCGUAAAACUCUGUUAUUAGGGAAGAACAAAUGUGUAAGUAACUAUGCACGUCUUGACGGUACCUAAUCAGAAAGCCACGGCUAACUACGUG